CAGCAGCCGCGGUAAUACAGAGGGUGCGAGCGUUAAUCGGAUUUACUGGGCGUAAAGCGUGCGUAGGCGGCUUUUUAAGUCGGAUGUGAAAUCCCUGAGCUUAACUUAGGAAUUGCAUUCGAUACUGGGAAGCUAGAGUAUGGGAGAGGAUGGUAGAAUUCCAGGUGUAGCGGUGAAAUGCGUAGAGAUCUGGAGGAAUACCGAUGGCGAAGGCAGCCAUCUGGCCUAAUACUGACGCUGAAGUACGAAAGCAUGGGGAGCAAACAGGAUUAGAUACCCCUGUAGUCCCUGUCUCUUAUAC
rnacentral:rRNA from 1 species